UUUUACUCAAGGAAAAUGUUC
rnacentral:piRNA from 1 species